GGUAGCAUGGUGUAUGGUGCAUGCGGGAAUCUCUUAAUGGUGCCUGGAUUUCUUCCCGAGGUCCUCGUUCGAUUCGAGGUGCUGCUA